GCACUCUCUCUCCUCCUCUCCUCCGAAAAACUCCCUCCUCUCUUCUCUCUUCGAUUUCAUCUACCUGGGGAGUGAUUCCAGACAAGGCCCGAGAAUUAAAGUUGCUAUACGAACCAUGGGCUUUCUGAAUAUCCAAGAAAAAUCACGAACGACCACGUGGGAGUUCGGUUGACUUAGUCAAAGGUUCGGGUUUUGCUCAAAACCCAUGAGGUAGGGACUUCUUACUCUCGUUAUGCGUUUAUACGGUGUUUAUGUACUUAGAUCGUGCCUUGUUUCGUGGUUUGAGAUUUUUUCUUCCAUUUCCAAGAAUCUGCAGAACAUGGUCUUCGUUUUUGCUGUUUUAUGCCUUCUUAAGUUCGGAAUUAAAUUUUGGUUCCUUCGUAUGAAAUAGAGUAGACUUAGAGCCCGUUCUAAUGCCGCUGGAAUCACUCGAAACGGUUGAGAAUUGAAUUUAUGGUGAUAUUUAGAAUACUGGUCUGCAAUCUGUCUCGUUUUCUGGGUUUCAGCCCACUUCGAAUGGCCAUAACUUCCUCGUCCGAUGUCCGUUUUAUGCAAACUUUAUAUCGGUUCGAAGAUUUUGAAGUCAGCUUUCAUUUGCCACUGGAAUCGUCUUAAAACUCUUAGUAUACAAAAAGUUAUGAUCGAUUGAGUGGAGGUAUGUCAAUCUGUCAGACAGAUUCGUGUAGCCUCGGUAAACCCCUGUUUAACCACCCUUGGAGUGCAGAUUUGACUAGGUCUCCUUUGCGUCUUUCAAAGUUCAUUCAAUCACCCAACUAUUGGGACUGGAAUCACUCAAAAAUAUUAAGAACUCGAUUUAUAGUGAUUUUUAGAAAAUUGAACUGAAAUCUGAAAAUUUGGGCAGCGUGCAGGGCUGCAGGUUUUUCAUCGUUUGUUAUAGCUAAAUGACGCUAUUUGUUAUGGGUCCUUAUGGGUUUUAAAGAUUGGUAAGUUUGUGAUCUUUUGGCGUUGGAAUCAUUGAAAAAUAUUGAAUGUGGAAUUUUUAUGAAUUGUCGAACACUGACUGCUCUCUGGGAUAGUUUUGGUCCGUUGAUUCUCUUUUGUCUGUUUUGACUCUCAAUCACUUCUAACACUUUUUAAACAUCGUUAAACCAUCCCUAAGCUUGAUUACUUGAGUUCCUAUGAGUUAAUGAUCAUUCAAAUUCCUUCGAUACCCAUUAAGCAUAAUCUUAGUGUUGUUGUAAAUGGAAUAUGUGAUUUAAGGUUGUUUAGGAGUACCGAAGGCUAAGUGAGACAUUGUGGGAAGUAUAGUUGGCAGACGUGAGCUUUUCUAGUGAUCCGAGUGGUAGCAUAGUGAUCCGUGUCCGCAUGAUUCACUUAUCCUUCAAACUCUAUUGGUGCUCGUUCCACGAGAUCAAAGUAAUCAAUAUUAGUAAGUAGUAUGUUGUAGAGUCGCUAUGGAGUCGGUACGAUAUUAUGUUGUACUAAGAGAGAAAGGCGUGUACUGAUUUGUUAGUCAAUGUUCUAUUAUGAUUGAUCGUUUGGAAUAUUUUGAAAUGUGAUUGUCGAUGCGUGUUUGACCUAUAAAUCAGUUUGAUUGACGUGCCUUAUUGUGUCAUGAGAUUAGAGAAGUGUUUGUUGAAUGAGUUGUAUGAUUGUUGGGAUUUGAAUGGUUGCAAUUGAGAAUUUGAACGAGGAAGUGACUGCAACGCAAGGGGUGGAAAUGCAGACUGCAACGCAAGGUGUGGUAAUGCAGAGACCCAAAUAAUGGGUGAUGUUGACUGCAACGCAAGGGGUGGAAAUGCAGACUGCAACGCAAGGGGUGGAAAUGCAGAGUGGUUGAGAUUAUGAGAAGUGUCGAAAUGGUUGCGAACCUAUUGUACACUACAUGGACACAGUCUUGGAGGGUGUGAAGUGCAUGCUGACAUCGCAGGCUAAAGUUAUUUUCUGAAGAACUUGUCUUUCCCUUGUAAAUCAAACUGUAUUGUACUAUUUUCUCUAAUUUGGAAUACUGUAUCAAUUGACAAAAUUGUGAAAUUUAGAAACUAUAUGUUGUAAUUUGGGGUACCGUAUGUACUAUUGUGAGGAUUUGUAUUUAAAAUGGUAUUGUUAUUUAUGUUAAAAA